rnacentral:rRNA from 1 species
UACGUAGGCAGCAAGCGUUGUUCGGAAUUACUGGGCGUAAAGAGUGUGUAGGCGGUGCUCUAAGUUCGGUGUGAAAUCUCCCGGCUUAACUGGGAGGGUGCGCCGGAAACUGGAGUGCUUGAGCGCGGGAGAGGAAAGCGGAAUUCCUGGUGUAGCGGUGAAAUGCGUAGAUAUCAGGAGGAACACCUGUGGUGUAGACGGCUUUCUGGACCGGU